rnacentral:rRNA from 1 species
AUUGAACGCUGGCGGCAUGCCUUACACAUGCAAGUCGAACGGCAGCAUGGAGAGCUUGCUCUCUGAUGGCGAGUGGCGAACGGGUGAGUAAUGCAUCGGAACGUACCGUGUAAUGGGGGAUAACGUAGCGAAAGUUACGCUAAUACCGCAUACGACCUGAGGGUGAAAGCAGGGGAUCGCAAGACCUUGCGCUAUACGAGCGGCCGAUGUCAGAUUAGCUAGUUGGGGAGGUAAAGGCUCACCAAGGCGAAGAUCUGUAGCGGGUCUGCGAGGAGGAUCCGCCACACUGGGACUGGGACACGGCCCGGACUCCUACGGGGGGAAGCAGUGGGGAAUUUUGGACAAUGGGGGCAACCCUGAUCCAGCCAUGCCGCGUGAGGGAAGAAGGCGUUCGGGUUGUAAAGCUCUUUCGGCCGGGAAGAAAUCGCACAGGCUAAUACUCUGUGUGGAUGACGGUACCGGCAUAAGAAGCACCGGCUAACUACGUGCCAGCAGCCGCCGUAA